rnacentral:rRNA from 1 species
UACUUGUACUUGGUGGCGACCGGCGCACGGGUGCGUAACGCGUAUGCAACCUACCUUAUACUGAGGGGAUAGCCCAGAGAAAUUUGGAUUAAUACCUCAUAGUAUCAUAUGAAGGCAUCUGAGAAUGAUUAAAGAUUUAUCGGUAUAAGAUGGGGCAUGCGUAAGAUUAGUUAGUUGGUGAGGUAACGGGCUCACCAAGACUUCGAUCUUUAGGGGUUCUGAGAGGAUGAUCCCCCCACACUGGGUACUGAGAUACGGACCAGACUUC